rnacentral:rRNA from 1 species
GAAUAUUGGACAAUGGGCGGAAGCCUGCUCCAGCCAUGCCGCGUGGGUGAAGAAGGCCUUUUGGUUGUAAAGCACUUUAAGCGAGGCGGAGCUCUCGGUUAAUACCCAAGAUGCUGGGACGUUACACGCAGAAUAAGCACCGGCUAAUUCUGUGCCAGCCGCCUCAGUAAUACAGAGGGUGCAAGCGUUAAUCGGAUUUACUGGACGUAAAGCGCUCGUAGGUGGCCAAUUAAGUCAAAUGUGAAAUCCCCGAGCUUAACUUGGGAAUUGCAUUCGAUACUGGUUGGCUAGAGUAUGGGAGAGGAUGGUAGAAUUCCAGGUGUAGCGGUGAAAUGCGUAGAGAUCUGGAGGAAUACCGAUGGCGAAGGCAGCCAUCUGGCCUAAUACUGACACUGAGGUGCGAAAGCAUGGGGAGCAAACA